CUGAACUUUCCGAGAUGGAUUGGUGCCUUCGGGAACACUGAGACAGGUGCUGCAUGGCUGUCGUCAGCUCGUGUUGUGAAAUGUUGGGUUAAGUCCCGCAACGAGCGCAACCCUUGUCCUUUGUUGCCAGCACGUCAUGGGGGAAAUUCUAAGGAAACGGCCGGGAACAAAUGGAAGAAAGGGGGGAAUAACUUCAAUUCUUCUGGGCCCUUACAGUCUGGGCUACACACUUGCUACAUGGGUUAUACCAAAAGGUUGCACCUCCCCAGAGUGGAGCUAAUCCCAUAAAACCGAUCGUAUCCCGAAUGGAGUCCUGCAACUCACUUGCGUGAAGUCGAAAUCCUAGUAAAUCGCGAAUCAAAAAUGUACGCGGUGAAUACUUUCCCGGGUCUGUACACACCCGAGA
rnacentral:rRNA from 1 species